UACAGAGGGUGCAAGCGUUGUUCGGAAUUAUUGGGCGUAAAGAGCUCGUAGGCGGUGUGUCGCGUCGGCCGUGAAAACCUGGGGCUCAACUCUGGGCGUGCGGUCGAUACGGGCAGGCUAGAGUUCGGUAGGGGAGACUGGAAUUCCUGGUGUAGCGGUGAAAUGCGCAGAUAUCAGGAGGAACACCGGUGGCGAAGGCGGGUCUCUGGGCCGAUACUGACGCUGAGGAGCGAAAGCGUGGGGAGCGAACAGG
rnacentral:rRNA from 1 species